rnacentral:rRNA from 1 species
CCUACGGGCGGCUGCAGUGGGGAAUAUUGCACAAUGGGCGCAAGCCUGAUGCAGCCAUGCCGCGUGUGUGAAGAAGGCCUUCGGGUUGUAAAGCACUUUCAGCGGGGAGGAAGGCGUUAAGGUUAAUAACCUUGGCGAUUGACGUUACCCGCAGAAGAAGCACCGGCUAACUCCGUGCCAGCAGCCGCGGUAAUACGGAGGGUGCAAGCGUUAAUCGGAAUUACUGGGCGUAAAGCGCACGCAGGCGGUCUGUCAAGUCGGAUGUGAAAGCCCCGGGCUCAACCUGGGAACUGCAUUCGAAACUGGCAGGCUAGAGUCUUGUAGAGGGGGGUAGAAUUCCAGGUGUAGCGGUGAAAUGCGUAGAGAUCUGGAGGAAUACCGGUGGCGAAGGCGGCCCCCUGGACAAAGACUGACGCUCAGGUGCGAAAGCGUGGGGAGCAAACAGGAUUAGAUACCCCGGUAGUC